UGAGCGCUGUACUCAGAUUAUAGCGUGGUGUGCUUUUUCCGUAAAGUUUUCUUGAAAUCUGACACAGCGGUUGCAUUAAUGUCAAGUUUCCUGAGGUAACCCCAUAAGGUUUAUGCAGGUAGAUCUCAUUGCUAACAUUAAAGAAGAUAGCAUUAUUGCGCAAAACAAUGAGCUGGGAAUAGAACGUUCGAAGACUAGUUUGUGCUAUGGUGCUCAAUAGAACAGGGCUCUACAAUGCAAGUAUUUCACUCGCAUUUGCCCCUAAAAAUAAAUGUGCGAACCGAAAAAUAUUUACGAGCACAGUGUGCGAUUAAAGAUUACAACCUACCGUAAUCUAUUUUUCCCCCGCUGCUAAUUGUUUAAAAACUACAAGUCCCACAAGCAUGCCCCAACCACAGAGUUUUCUGUGAGGACGCAGUCCAAUCUACGUACGUUUGUUGGAGGAUGGGAAGCCAGUCAAUCUAUUGGUCGGACAACAGACCCUUGAGCACUCAUGCCAUUGACUAGAGCUGUCUUCCAGCAUGCUAAACCCUGACACAUGGCCAGAAGACCAGGCCAGCCUCCUCACCUUUGGCGAUGAUGGUGUGGCAUACCUGAUGAGGCAUUUCAAGGAGCCUCUAGAGAGAUCGGGGUGCAACAUGGCUGCAAUCCAGGAUUAGUGGCAGGGGCUGAAACUUCUGGUUAGCCACAAUUUCAAGGACAAGUCCUACAGUGGCCUGUGGGAGACCAUGUUGACAAAGGACCCCUACAGGCACGAUUACAAGAACAUACUGGAGUUGGUGCAGCUUAUGCUGGUGUCGCCCAUUUCAGCCACCCAGUGUGAGCAAGGCUUCUCUGCGCAGAACCGGAUUAAGAAUUCGACAAGAAGCUCUCCUCCACCACCGAAGACCUGAUGAGGAUCAGCCUGGAGCGGUCUUCUGUUCGAGCCCACUCCUGCCGUGGACCGCUGGCUGACCUCUAAGCGUGCCAGAUGGCCAACAUACAAAAGCAGUUGGACAACUGAUAUCCUUUGCGUCAAGUAGGCAUGGGUCAAUGUGUGAUUUUGGUGUCAUGUGCUGUUCCACAGAUGUGUGUCCCUUAGUACACGCAC